GUCUGGCCUGCCCACUGACUUCGGUUGAAGGGCCGCGGUAUUUUGACCGUGCGAAGGUAGCAUAAUCAUUAGUCUUUUAAUUGGAGGCUUGUAUGAAUGGUUGAACAAAAAAUAAGCUGUCUCGAUUAUAAAAAUUGAAUUUAACUUUUAAGUGAAAAGGCUUAAAUGAUAUAGGGUGACGAUAAGACCCUAUAAAACUUUACAAUUAUUUAAUUGAAUGAUGAAUUGUUAGUAUAAAUUUGAUUCAAUUAAUGUUUGUUUCGUUGGGGCGACGAAAAUAUAAUUUUAUAACUGUUUUAUAAUUUUGUAACAAUGAUUUUUGGUGAAGAUGAUCCUUUAUUAGAGAUUAAAAGAUUAAGUUACUUUAGGGAUAACAGCGUAAUCUUCUUUGAAAGUUCAUAUCGACAAGAAGGGUUGCGACCUCGAUGUUGAAUUAAGGUUUCUUUGUGGUGCAGUAGUUACAGUGAGAAGGUCUGUUCGACCUUUAAUUCCUUACGUGAUCUGAG
rnacentral:rRNA from 1 species